rnacentral:lncRNA from 1 species
UUUAUUUUCAGGUUUCUCUUCAGAGUCUCAUGAGCUACUAGCUCAUCCAAGGGCUGAUGGAGAUGCUGAAAAUGCACCCAGCUUGCUACCAGUGUGCUGUGAACAUGCUAUACAAGUAGAUGAAGGAGAAUCAGAAGAAAUGCCCCGGUUAUUGCCUUAUGAUGCAGAAGAGACCUUUGAUCUAAACACUCCCCAAAUCACUAAUGAAGGAGAACCAGAGAAAGGGCUCAGUCUACUACCAGGUGAAGGAGAAGAGGGCAGUGAUGACUGUUUGGAAAUGUGUGAUGGAGAAGAGCCCCAGGAAGCCUCUAGCUCCCUAGCAAGAUGUGGGUCAGAGACGUUUGCGCUAAACACUCCCCAAAUCACUAAUGAAGGAGAACCAGAGAAAAGGCUUGGUCUACUACCGGGUGAAGGAGAAGUAUCUAGUGAACUAAAAGAUCACCAAAUGAAUGAAGAAGAAGAAUCAGAAGAGCUUGCUUCUAGCCUGCUACGUGAGGAUGUACCAGAUACUGUGGAUACUGGAAGCAACUCUGCUUUGGAAAGUACCAAACCCAAGAGGAAAAGAAGUAAGAAUAAAUACGAAUUUACUUGCUUUUGAUGUUGCAA